AGAAAACAUAUAAAACAGGAACAAACAAAAGAUUGAACCGGUAUUAAUUAAAAAUCUCCCAACAAAGAAAAGGUCAGGACCAGACAGCUUCACAGCUUAAUU